rnacentral:tRNA from 1 species
GGAGAGAUGGCUCAGUAUUAAGAGCACUGGCUGCUCUUCCAGAAGACCUGGGUUUGAUUCCCAGUAUCCACA